rnacentral:rRNA from 1 species
AGUGAACGCUGGCGACGUGCUUAACACAUGCAAGUCGAACGGAUAAGUGCUGUAGCAAUACAGAUUACUGUCAGUGGCAGACGGGUGAGUAAUACAUGGGAAUCUGCCUUGGAGUCUAGGAUAACAGUUGGAAACGACUGCUAAUACUGGAUAUUGCCGAGAGGUGAAAGAAUUUCGCUCCAAGAUGAGCCCAUGCAAGAUUAGCUUGUUGGUGGGGUAAUGGCCUACCAAGGCAACGAUCUUUAGUUGGUCUGAGAGGAUGAACAACCACACUGGAACUGAGACACGGUCCAGACUCCUACGGGGGGCAGCAGUGGGGAAUAUUGGACAAUGGGCGCAAGCCUGAUCCAGCGACGUCGCGUGGGUGAUUAAGGCCUUCGGGUUGUAAAGCCCUUUCGGCAGGGAAGAUUAUGACGGUACCUGCAUAAGAAGCUCCGGCUAACUUCGUGCCAGCCGCCGCCGUAA